ACUGCUCAGUAACACGUAGCUAACCUACCCUUAGGACGUUCACAACCCCGAGAAAUUGGGGCUAAUAAGCGAUAGAUAUGAUGUCCUGGAAUGGUAUUAUGUCUAAAGGUAUCCCAUACAUGUUUGGUAUACGCCUAAGGAUGGGGCUGCGGCUGAUCAGGCUGUUGGUGAGGUAAUGGCUCACCAAGCCUUUUACCGGUGCGGGCCGUGGGAGCGGGAGCCCGGAGAUGGGCACUGAGAUAAGGGCCCAGGCCCUACGGGGCGCAGCAGGCGCGCAACCUCCGCAAUGCGCGCAAGCGUGACGGGGCCAUCCCGAGUGCCAUCCGCUAAGGAUGGCUUUUCCUCGGUCUAACCCGCCUUGGGAGUAAGGGGAGGGCAAGCCUGGUGUCAGCCGCCGCGGUAAUACCAGCUCCCCGAGUGGUUGGGAUGAUUAUUGGGUCUAAAGCGUCCGUAGCCUGCCGGAUAAGUUCUCCGUUAAAUCCGAUGAUUCAAUCGUCGGGCUGCGGGGAAUACUAUUCGGCUUGGGGGUGGAGGAGGCCGGCGGUAGUCCCGGGGUAGGGGCGAAAUCCUAUAAUCCCGGGAGGACCACCAGUGGCGAAGGCGGUCGGCCAAAACACGCCCGACAGUGAGGGGCGAAAGCUGGGGGAGCGAACGGGAUUAGAUACCCCGGUAGUCCCAGCUGUAAACGAUGCAGGCUAGGUGUUGGGACGGCUACGUGCCGUUCCAGUGCCGCAGGGAAGCCGUUAAGCCUGCCACCUGGGGAGUACGGCCGCAAGGCUGAAACCUUGGAAGAGAUGAUUAAAAUAGACUCUUUUCAGGGCAGCAUACUUAAAGGAAUUGGCGGGGGAGCAC
rnacentral:rRNA from 1 species